rnacentral:lncRNA from 1 species
GGUGGUUAUAUGCAAAGAACAGAAUUAAACAUGCAAAUGCAGUGAAUCAAUGGUUGAGGAAAAACUAUGGAUGAAUGGUGUUGUUGGGGUUUAUAAUUUCAUCUUAUCCAGUCUCAUAUAUCUACUCUUCUUAUUUAAUUCACUUGUUUAUCUCAUUGCCAUGCAUACUUUCUUAAUUAUCCUUAACCCAAUUCCGUGGUGAAAAGAGCCUAUCACUAAUUACCGGCUUGCUAUCCCUAGCCUCCCCUAGUUACCAAUAAUGCAAUGUGUUCUAAGGCAAAUACAAUUGACUGUCCUACCC